rnacentral:rRNA from 1 species
UUAAGCGACUAAGCGUACACGGUGGAUGCCCUGGCAGUCAGAGGCGAUGAAGGACGUGCUAAUCUGCGAUAAGCGUCGGUAAGGUGAUAUGAACCGUUAUAACCGGCGAUUUCCGAAUGGGGAAACCCAGUGUGAUUCGUCACACUAUCAUUAACUGAAUCCAUAGGUUAAUGAGGCGAACCGGGGGAACUGAAACAUCUAAGUACCCCGAGGAAAAGAAAUCAACCGAGAUUCCCCCAGUAGCGGCGAGCGAACGGGGAGCAGCCCAGAGCCUGAAUCAGUGUGUGUGUUAGUGGAAGCGUCUGGAAAGGCGCGCGAUACAGGGUGACAGCCCCGUACACAAAAAUGCAUAUACUGUGAGCUCGAUGAGUAGGGCGGGACACGUGGUAUCCUGUCUGAAUAUGGGGGGACCAUCCUCCAAGGCUAAAUACUCCUGACUGACCGAUAGUGAACCAGUACCGUGAGGGAAAGGCGAAAAGAACCCCGGCGAGGGGAGUGAAAAAGAACCUGAAACCGUGUACGUACAAGCAGUGGGAGCCUCUUUAUGGGGUGACUGCGUACCUUUUGUAUAAUGGGUCAGCGACUUAUAUUCUGUAGCAAGGUUAACCGAAUAGGGGAGCCGAAGGGAAACCGAGUCUUAACUGGGCGUUAAGUUGCAGGGUAUAGACCCGAAACCCGGUGAUCUAGCCAUGGGCAGGUUGAAGGUUGGGUAACACUAACUGGAGGACCGAACCGACUAAUGUUGAAAAAUUAGCGGAUGACUUGUGGCUGGGGGUGAAAGGCCAAUCAAACCGGGAGAUAGCUGGUUCUCCCCGAAAGCUAUUUAGGUAGCGCCUCGUGAAUUCAUCUCCGGGGGUAGAGCACUGUUUCGGCAAGGGGGUCAUCCCGACUUACCAACCCGAUGCAAACUGCGAAUACCGGAGAAUGUUAUCACGGGAGACACACGGCGGGUGCUAACGUCCGUCGUGAAGAGGGAAACAACCCAGACCGCCAGCUAAGGUCCCAAAGUCAUGGUUAAGUGGGAAACGAUGUGGGAAGGCCCAGACAGCCAGGAUGUUGGCUUAGAAGCAGCCAUCAUUUAAAGAAAGCGUAAUAGCUCACUGGUCGAGUCGGCCUGCGCGGAAGAUGUAACGGGGCUAAACCAUGCACCGAAGCUGCGGCAGCGACGCUUAUGCGUUGUUGGGUAGGGGAGCGUUCUGUAAGCCUGUGAAGGUGUGCUGUGAGGCAUGCUGGAGGUAUCAGAAGUGCGAAUGCUGACAUAAGUAACGAUAAAGCGGGUGAAAAGCCCGCUCGCCGGAAGACCAAGGGUUCCUGUCCAACGUUAAUCGGGGCAGGGUGAGUCGACCCCUAAGGCGAGGCCGAAAGGCGUAGUCGAUGGGAAACAGGUUAAUAUUCCUGUACUUGGUGUUACUGCGAAGGGGGGACGGAGAAGGCUAUGUUGGCCGGGCGACGGUUGUCCCGGUUUAAGCGUGUAGGCUGGUUUUCCAGGCAAAUCCGGAAAAUCAAGGCUGAGGCGUGAUGACGAGGCACUACGGUGCUGAAGCAACAAAUGCCCUGCUUCCAGGAAAAGCCUCUAAGCAUCAGGUAACAUCAAAUCGUACCCCAAACCGACACAGGUGGUCAGGUAGAGAAUACCAAGGCGCUUGAGAGAACUCGGGUGAAGGAACUAGGCAAAAUGGUGCCGUAACUUCGGGAGAAGGCACGCUGAUAUGUAGGUGAAGUCCCUUGCGGAUGGAGCUGAAAUCAGUCGAAGAUACCAGCUGGCUGCAACUGUUUAUUAAAAACACAGCACUGUGCAAACACGAAAGUGGACGUAUACGGUGUGACGCCUGCCCGGUGCCGGAAGGUUAAUUGAUGGGGUUAGCGGUAACGCGAAGCUCUUGAUCGAAGCCCCGGUAAACGGCGGCCGUAACUAUAACGGUCCUAAGGUAGCGAAAUUCCUUGUCGGGUAAGUUCCGACCUGCACGAAUGGCGUAAUGAUGGCCAGGCUGUCUCCACCCGAGACUCAGUGAAAUUGAACUCGCUGUGAAGAUGCAGUGUACCCGCGGCAAGACGGAAAGACCCCGUGAACCUUUACUAUAGCUUGACACUGAACAUUGAGCCUUGAUGUGUAGGAUAGGUGGGAGGCUUUGAAGUGUGGACGCCAGUCUGCAUGGAGCCGACCUUGAAAUACCACCCUUUAAUGUUUGAUGUUCUAACGUUGGCCCCUGAUCGGGGUUGCGGACAGUGUCUGGUGGGUAGUUUGACUGGGGCGGUCUCCUCCUAAAGAGUAACGGAGGAGCACGAAGGUUGGCUAAUCCUGGUCGGACAUCAGGAGGUUAGUGCAAUGGCAUAAGCCAGCUUGACUGCGAGCGUGACGGCGCGAGCAGGUGCGAAAGCAGGUCAUAGUGAUCCGGUGGUUCUGAAUGGAAGGGCCAUCGCUCAACGGAUAAAAGGUACUCCGGGGAUAACAGGCUGAUACCGCCCAAGAGUUCAUAUCGACGGCGGUGUUUGGCACCUCGAUGUCGGCUCAUCACAUCCUGGGGCUGAAGUAGGUCCCAAGGGUAUGGCUGUUCGCCAUUUAAAGUGGUACGCGAGCUGGGUUUAGAACGUCGUGAGACAGUUCGGUCCCUAUCUGCCGUGGGCGCUGGAGAACUGAGGGGGGCUGCUCCUAGUACGAGAGGACCGGAGUGGACGCAUCACUGGUGUUCGGGUUGUCAUGCCAAUGGCACUGCCCGGUAGCUAAAUGCGGAAGAGAUAAGUGCUGAAAGCAUCUAAGCACGAAACUUGCCCCGAGAUGAGUUCUCCCUGACUCCUUGAGAGUCCUGAAGGAACGUUGAAGACGACGACGUUGAUAGGCCGGGUGUGUAAGCGCAGCGAUGCGUUGAGCUAACCGGUACUAAUGAACCGUGAGGCUUAACCUU